GAUGAACGCUGGCGGCGUGCUUAACACAUGCAAGUCGAACGAAGCACUUUAUUUGAUUUCCUUCGGGACUGAUUAUUUUGUGACUGAGUGGCGGACGGGUGAGUAACGCGUGGGUAACCUGCCUUGUACAGGGGGAUAACAGUUGGAAACGGCUGCUAAUACCGCAUAAGCGCACGGCAUCGCAUGAUGCAGUGUGAAAAACUCCGGUGGUAUAAGAUGGACCCGCGUUGGAUUAGCUAGUUGGUGAGGUAACGGCCCACCAAGGCGACGAUCCAUAGCCGACCUGAGAGGGUGACCGGCCACAUUGGGACUGAGACACGGCCCAAACUCCUACGGGAGGCAGCAGUGGGGAAUAUUGCACAAUGGGCGAAAGCCUGAUGCAGCGACGCCGCGUGAGCGAAGAAGUAUUUCGGUAUGUAAAGCUCUAUCAGCAGGGAAGAUAA
rnacentral:rRNA from 1 species